rnacentral:lncRNA from 1 species
UGGGGACAGUGUGGUGCUCUGGAAUCCCUGGAGACCAGGAGCAUGAAUGCAGUUAGAAAUCACAUGAUACAGAAGGCUGAGGUCUCAGCUCUACCACCAAACCCUGCAGAAGCCGUGGGAUCAGCUGGAGAGCCUCUGCAUGCUUGGUGGAUUGACCAUAGGUUAUGAAUACCACUGCCAGGCAACUCCGAGCUGCCUAGGGGAGCAAGGACAUAAUUUGCCCUCAGAGUGUUAUUAUGGAAGUUUGUGUUCACUGAGCUUUUUAUACCCGCCUCACAAGAAGAAAGACCAAAGGGAAAAACUCAGCAUGGAGAGUGAGAAAGAACAACGUGAAGAAAGAAGAAAAACACCCGAGCAGGCUCAGAGGGACCAGAGACUGUACGAGAGCACCGUCACGUCAGACAACAUUGCACUGCUGCGUGGUCAGAGGUGCCGUGUGGCCCUGUGAAAAAACCUUUACCAAGCAAUCAAAAUACAUUUUCAUGCAUUCCAUCUGCUUUGCGGAGUCUAAGCAGGGAUCGGUUUUAAAAAGCAAAUUUUGGAAUAAAAUAGUCUUUGCCUUUAAACCUUCA